AGGUUCACCGCACGCUGGGAAACGGGUCAUCGCAACCAAGGGUUCCUCACGGGAGGCAGGAACCCAAGAUCAUCACCUCCACGGUUGACGCUCUGUGACCAUGUCACCAGGAGGACAGGAACGCUGCGAGGACCUCCCAUCCGUCCCAUUGCGAGUCCAACAUCGAUUCUGCGAUUAUCACGUCUCCCGCGACAGUGACUGCGUGAGCAAAUGGGCAUGAGGGAUGUGGUCAUCCGAUGGGAUCAUCUGAAACCAGCACGGGCACCGCCCACCUUCAUCAAUUACUGCCGCCUACACCGCGCUGCAGGCACAUCUCCCGGUUAAGAUGUAUAACGCUGGGCAUCCAUGCCUCAUUACCCAGGAUCCUGAGCUGGAGCAGAGUCACCCGCUGGGCAGCCGCGGCUUUUAAAGCCUCCCUCGCUUAAAUUAUCGCAGCUUUUCGUACGCAGAUUGUGUGACGCCGCUGUACCUUGGACCUCGCAAUACAGGUACGUGGCUGCGGAUCUGAAGCCGGGUUCUGAGCCCAGCGGGUACGGGGGGGGGGGGGGGGGUGCACAGAUUGAUCUGAGACAACAGCACAGUGACGGUGAGAGAGGGACACGAGGACGGAGCAGUUCACGAGUCCAACUGGAGUGACUUUUGAGCUCUGCGUCCAGAUGCCGCCGAGAGCUUCUCUCCCCCUCUGUUUCCGACAUCUUCUCUGAAAAAAAACCAACGAAAAUCUAUACAGCAGGUGGUGCGGUGGUCGGAACUUCUGAAUUCCGUUUGAAGCACCUGGGUUCCAAUCCCACCUCCUGCUGCAGUUACUAACCCUUCGCUGAUAUGGUAAAAAAUGCUAAGCCGUAAAAAAAGAGAAAAAACGGUGUAAAAAGCUCAGCGCUAUUUCACUUUGAGAAAAUAAAUGACAAACACAUUUAAAAUAAAUCCGCUGC
rnacentral:lncRNA from 1 species